rnacentral:rRNA from 1 species
GAUGAACGCUGGCGGCGUGCUUAACACAUGCAAGUCGAACGGAAAGGCCACAGCUUGCUGUGGUACUCGAGUGGCGAACGGGUGAGUAACACGUGGGUGAUCUGCCCUGUACUUCGGGAUAAGCUUGGGAAACUGGGUCUAAUACCGGAUAGGAAUCACAUGUGGGUGUGUGGUUGGAAAUCUUUUGCGGUAUGGGAUGAGCUCGCGGCCUAUCAGCUUGUUGGUGGGGUAAUGGCCUACCAAGGCGUCGACGGGGAGCCGGCCUGAGAGGGUGUACGGCCACAUUGGGACUGAGAUACGGCCCAGACUCCUACGGGAGGCAGCAGUGGGGAAUAUUGCACAAUGGGCGGAAGCCUGAUGCAGCGACGCCGCGUGGGGGAUGACGGCCUUCGGGUUGUAAACUCCUUUCGUCAGGGACGAAGCGAAAGUGACGGUACCUGGAUAAGAAGCACCGGCUAACUACGUG